rnacentral:rRNA from 1 species
AUUGAACGCUGGCGGCAUGCUUUACACAUGCAAGUCGAACGGCAGCGCGGGCUUCGGCCUGGCGGCGAGUGGCGAACGGGUGAGUAAUGCAUCGGAACGUGCCCAGUAGUGCGGGAUAGCCCGGCGAAAGCCGGAUUAAUACCGCAUACGACCUGAGGGUGAAAGCGGGGGACCGAAAGGCCUCGCGCUAUUGGAGCGGCCGAUGUCGGAUUAGCUAGUUGGUGGGGUAAAGGCUUACCAAGGCGACGAUCCGUAGCUGGUCUGAGAGGACGACCAGCCACACUGGGACUGAGACACGGCCCAGACUCCUACGGGAGGCAGCAGUGGGGAAUUUUGGACAAUGGGGGCAACCCUGAUCCAGCCAUGCCGCGUGCGGGAAGAAGGCCUUCGGGUUGUAAACCGCUUUUGUUCGGGAAGAAAUCCUCUGGGCUAAUACCCCGGGGGGAUGACGGUACCGGAAGAAUAAGCACCGGCUAACUACGUG